GGAGACGUGGCCGAGCGGCCGAAGGCGCUCCCCUGCUAAGGGAGUAGGGGCUGAAAGGUCCCUCAUGGGUUCAAAUCCCAUCGUCUCCGCCC
rnacentral:tRNA from 1 species